UACAGAGGUCUCAAGCGUUGUUCGGAUUCAUUGGGCGUAAGGGGUGCGUAGGCGGCGCGGUAAGUCGGGUGUGAAAUCUCGGAGCUUAACUCCGAAACUGCAUUCGAUACUGCCGUGCUUAAGGACUGGAGAGGAGACUGGAAUUUACGGUGUAGCGGUGAAAUGCGUAGAUAUCGUAAGGAAGACCAGUGGCGAAGGCGGGUCUCUGGACAGUUCCUGACGCUGAGGCACGAAGGCCAGGGGAGCAAACGGG
rnacentral:rRNA from 1 species